rnacentral:rRNA from 1 species
UACGUAGGGGGGCUAGCGUUGUCCGGAAUCAUUGGGCGUAAAGCGCGUGUAGGCGGUCCGGUAAGUCCGCUGUGAAAGUCGGGGGGUCAACCCUCGGAUGCCGGUGGAUACUGUCGGGCUUGAGUACGGAAGAGGCGAGUGGAAUUCCUGGUGUAGCGGUGAAAUGCGCAGAUAUCAGGAGGAACACCAAUUGCGAAGGCAGCUCGCUGGGACGUUACUGACGCUGAGACGCGAAAGCUGGGGGGAGCGAACGGGAUUAAGAA